UCCAACAAGUGUUGUCGGGCUGUCUGCCCCACGUUGGCGCCGGCGGACCAACCCGUUGGCGGCGGCGGCGGCGGGCCUCCUUGACCUCGGCCGCUCCUCCCCACUGCGAAGGCAUCCAAGGCAGAUGCGGAGCACCCCGGUGCGGCGGCGACCGCUCCUGGAUCUGGCUCCCCACGGUGUUGUCCCACUUGGCUGCUCCCCACGGCGAAGGGAUCCAAAGCAGAGGCUUCGCAGGCUCGGUGCAGAGCUUCCCCUCUCUCUCUCCAUUGCUACAUCCUUUCUUGACUACAUAUAAAAGAUGGAUAGAAGUUGGAUCCAUGGGAGAAAAUUCACACCAGCUUACACCAACGGUGUGAAAGAGUUCAUGGAAUUUGCUAAGGAAAGGUUUAUGGAACACAUCCCAAUAAGUUGCCCGUGUCGUCAUUGUCUUAACCAGAUUGAAACAAACUUGAUGCUCCAUUUUUGACAAAGGCAAAUUCGUCAUAAAUUCGUCACAAAAAUUUAUUUAUGUCGGAUUUGGCUUCUACUA